CCCUGCUGCUCCGUUCGGAGUUUGCUGGAACCAGUGGCUGCGCCUCGGCCUCUCCUUGUCCCCGUCGUCCUCGCCGGUGUGCGCCGCCCGAGGCUCAUCGGAGCACCACCACCAAAGGGCGUUCCCCGCCAUGACGCCUUGGCCUCCUCUGCUUCACCUGCCGCGCCGCCAUUGCCAUUCGUCGACCCCGCAGCCUCAAACUCCCGUGCCGAAGCACCACCUCGAGCACCUCCUUCCUUGAGCAGGAGCUCGACCUGCUGUCGGCGACCUCGCCCUCCGAUGACCUAAACAACCAGGUGUGGCCGUCGAUCGCCAUGGCGCCGCUGCCCUCGUUGUUCACCGAGGUGGGUCCCGAUCUAGAUCGCUCUGCUACUGGGUCCAAGACGCCGCCGUCCCAGGCUUCUGCAGCCGCGCCGCCAUCGUCCCGGACGUCCCUGCUUCGCCAUGGCCAUCCCCGUGGUCUCUGCUUCCUUUUGCACCGAGCCGAGCCAGAGAACGAGCAGUUCGUUUGAUCCCCGCUCCCCUGCCUCGCGUUGACCGAGUCGUUUUCCCCUGCCGGCCUCCCUCUUCGCCAGCUGGGCUUGGCCCAUGGAUGAGCCCCAAGGGCCCUCCUGUUUUUUUUCAUUGUUGGGCCAGCUAGUUACGGCCUGAUGUGAUUUUUUUUCAGUUCUGCGAAUUUAUCAUUUAACCUGGUCAUUACAUAUUUACAGGAUAUGCCAUCA